rnacentral:rRNA from 1 species
GACGAACGCUGGCGGCGUGCUUAACACAUGCAAGUCGAACGAUGAAGCUGGAGCUUGCUCCGGUGGAUUAGUGGCGAACGGGUGAGUAACACGUGAGCAAUCUGCCCUUGACUCUGGGAUAACUGCGGGAAACUGUAGCUAAUACCGGAUACGAGAUUUGGAGGCAUCUCCGGAUCUGGAAAGACUUUCGGUCAAGGAUGAGCUCGCGGCCUAUCAGCUUGUUGGUGAGGUAAUGGCUCACCAAGGCGACGAAGGGUAGCAGGCCUGAGAGGGUAACCGGCCACACUGGGACUGAGACACGGCCCAGACUCCUACGGGAGGAAGCAGUGGGGAAUAUUGCACAAUGGGCGAAAGCCUGAUGCAGCAACGCCGCGUGAGGGAUGAAGGCCUUCGGGUUGUAAACCUCUUUUAGUAGGGAAGAAGCGAAAGUGACGGUACCUACAGAAAAAGCACCGGCUAACUACGUGCCAGCCGCCGCAGUAA